rnacentral:rRNA from 1 species
UAGGGAAUCUUCGGCAAUGGACGAAAGUCUGACCGAGCAACGCCGCGUGAGUGAAGAAGGUUUUCGGAUCGUAAAACUCUGUUGUUAGAGAAGAACAAGGACGUUAGUAACUGAACGUCCCCUGACGGUAUCUAACCAGAAAGCCACGGCUAACUACGUGCCAGCAGCCGCGGUAAUACGUAGGUGGCAAGCGUUGUCCGGAUUUAUUGGGCGUAAAGCGAGCGCAGGCGGUUUCUUAAGUCUGAUGUGAAAGCCCCCGGCUCAACCGGGGAGGGUCAUUGGAAACUGGGAGACUUGAGUGCAGAAGAGGAGAGUGGAAUUCCAUGUGUAGCGGUGAAAUGCGUAGAUAUAUGGAGGAACACCAGUGGCGAAGGCGGCUCUCUGAUCUGUAACUGACGCUGAGGAUCGAAAGCGUGGGGAGCAAACAGG